rnacentral:rRNA from 1 species
UACGAAGGGGGCUAGCGUUGUUCGGAAUUACUGGGCGUAAAGCGUGCGCAGGCGGCUUCUCAAGUCAGGGGUGAAAGCCCAGAGCUCAACUCUGGAAUUGCCUUUGAGACUGAGUGGCUUGAGUACGGGAGAGGUGAGUGGAAUUCCCAGUGUAGAGGUGAAAUUCGUAGAUAUUGGCUGGAACACCGGUGGCGAAGGCAGAUCUCUGGGCCGUAACUGACGCUGAGGAGCGAAAGCAUGGGGAGCGAACAGGA